UCUUCGCACCCCCCCCGAUUUUUUCUCUCUUUGUGUCCCAUUUUUCUUUUUUUCCCUUUUUCUAAUUUUUUUUUAUUUUUUCCCCGUUUUUCCAUUUUCCCCCUUUAUCGCCCUUUUCCAUUUCCCCCCAUUUUUCCCUUUUUCUUUUUUCUUUCCUUCCCCCCCCCCUUUUUUUUCCAUUCCUCCCCUUUUUUCCUUUUUAUCCUUUUUGUCCCACUUCUCCCCCCCUUUUCUUUUUCCUUUCCUCCUUUUAUUGCAUUUCCCACAACCAACAGCCAACUAGGCGGAGACUGAACCCACUCGGAUCCCCCUCCCAUGGAAAACCCAACUGCGGCAAAGCCAUCCACCAACAGCGCUAUCCCCAUUCCCACUUCCCGUGAACGGGUGGCAAUGGAAAAUUGUUGCGCAUUUAAGCUCUUCAAAUUAAUAACCCCGCGGAAGGCGGGGAGCUGGGCAGAUGAAAGGCAAGGUGUGGACUUUGAUCCAUGUGCGAUGGGAUCCGCGCGGGCAGGCCGCCCAGCCCCUGUGGAGCAGCGCUGAAGGUCAGCCUGGGCUGAUCAGAUUGCAGCAAGAGGGCUGUAGAAAGCAAAGCCAAAGGGAGGUGGAAAAAAAUCUAUACUGCCCAGGUGUCUGCCAAGAGAUGAGAGAAAAGUCUGCCUCUGCUACAGGGAUUUAUGAUGAAGGAAAUAAAGGUCUCACCUUGGCAUGACAGCUGGACAAAAGAGAAGUUUGAAAUCUCCAUGCUACAACUGUUCUGAUGUGCCCCACUCAGCUCUUCAAACAAGAAAGCAAAUCCCAACAAGUAGGCUAAUGAUCUUAACGAUUAAGAGACGGCCACAACCACGCUGCAAAAAAUGAAAGUGCAUUCAGCUGUUCAUGGAUAGUAAAAUUACCUGCGAACUUUACAAAGCACCUCCUGAGAUGAAUGCUACAGGACUUCUUUUUACUCAGAAGAACAACGCUGCAAAAAGGGGGAGAAAUCAGAUGUUCAAAGUCUUUCCUACUGUUCCCACUGCUUAAAGACCUAUCAGCACAAGCAACAUGAAGGAACAAGUGAGUAAAUAACUACAAUUAUCACUGCUGUGCCAAGAAGCUUGAAACCAAAGAAAAAGAAAGAUGAGUAUGAACAAUCCUAACUCUACAUUUGUAAAACAAACCUAGGAGAAAAUGUCUCCUUGUGUGAGAUCACAGCAGGGCCCAAAUGGCUUCAAGACAAAGCGUACGUGAACUGCUCUCUCUUGAGAAGGUUCAAAGUUGGAUGCUCAAGUGAACCACCAGUGAGUUUUCCCACAGAAUCGGGACCUUUAAGAGCCUGUCUCUACUGUCACCCGGUUCAUAGCAAGGAUCUGGCAGCAGCAAUUACCACACAAGCUUCUCUCUCCUCCCCCUAAAACAGGCACAUAACAAAGGAUGCUGUUUUCAGUCACUAGUGACUGGAGAUCACAUCACCUGUAUUCCCCCACCUCCUCCUCCUCGGAGUAUGUUAACAGUCUACUAAAAAAUGAACAACUAAUGAAACAAAAAUAGAUUACAAAGUGACAGUCCCCAUUUUCUGAAGUUGAAAUCCCAAUCUCUUCCACUGGAGUGAAAGUCCAAGUGAUGAAAUAAACCUUGAACUGUGCCCUAGUGUUGCUCUACUCAUCGUUUUUAGAAACAAAAGAGCACCUUGUCCCAGACAAGCAAUUUAGCAACUCCAUCUGCAUACGUGCCCUCAUGCCAGAUGUCAAAAAGAGGGAGCAGAAAACUUUCAGCCAGCCAGUAUCCAAACGAGAGCAUUCCCCUGAUCAAUAUCGGUGACCAGAAUUGCACUUUUAAGAGACGUCACGGCAGUUACUGUCAUACCACCAUGACCCGACUCCAGGAACACAGCCAGCUGUGCUCCCAAACCCGUGGUCUCCUAAAGUGGGUCUCAUGAACAUCAAGCACUCAUCUGGAUAUGAAACUGGGGGGAGAACAAAACAGGACCUAUUUACCAUCAACACGUUCAGCAGAACUCAGCCUGCAUCAUCUUGUCAGCUCUCACAGUGAUCUCCAGGACCAAGUGAGUAGGAGAGAGAACAGAGAAGAGCUCUGAACUGGAACUCAAUGGCAGAGGGAGAGGGGGUCAUAAGUCUUCUCACCUUCCCAGUUCUCUAAAGGAAAAUUGGGUACAUCACAUAUGCAUAUGGGUUCUCUAUCUAAUCUCAGCCACUUCAACUAUUCCUGAAUGCUACACAGUUUUUCAACUGAAAAAAACAAGGAAAACAAAAUCUGUGUAUUCCUGAUGCCUAAAUACAGCUGUCACAAGACACAACACUGCAGAUGCAGGAAACCAGAACAUUUAACCAAGUAUUUUUUUCCCUUUUUAUCUAAAGUAAUUCCAAAUAAUGAACAGGGGUAGAAGACGUCACUAUGCUAUUUAGUGUUCAUCCUAAAUCAGAUUGCAAGAUAUGUUAGAAAAAGAUAGCACUUCUUUGGAACCGUUUUAAAUAUGACUAAAUAAAAAUUCUGACCUGGGUUUGAAAUAAUCUUAAAAUAGUCUUUCCAAUGGUUUUGUCCUGUUACACGAUGAUUUAAACCAGGUAUAAUGCAACUUUGAAUCAUACUCAAACAAGGUACCUCAACCAAUUUAAACUAUAUUUAGAAUGCAGUAUUUUUACUAUUAAAGAAAUCUAACAGAGGAACAACAUGCUUGGAACAUCUGUCGCAGUGAUUGAAAGAAGUCUAUGACAGGAAUAGCAAACACUUAUUUUCUUUUUGGAGAUGCUGUCAAUCUGCUGAAGCGAGGUAUCAGUAAAGUAGAUUGUUUCUAAGAGGUACCUCACACUGGCCCAUCUUCUCCAAAACAAAGAUGAUUAAAAUAUCCCCUUGUUGCAUAA